CACGUAGGAGGCGAGCGUUGUCCGGAAUCAUUGGGCGUAAAGAGCGCGCAGGCGGCUUGGCCAGUCGGGUGUGAAAUCCCGGGGCUCAACCCCGGGACUGCAUUCGAUACUGUCAGGCUAGAGGUAGGUAGGGGAGAUCGGAAUUCCUGGUGUAGCGGUGAAAUGCGCAGAUAUCAGGAGGAACACCGAUGGCGAAGGCAGAUCUCUGGGCCGUAACUGACGCUGAGGAGCGAAAGCGUGGGGAGCGAACAGG
rnacentral:rRNA from 1 species